AAAGCGUGCGCAGGCGGUUAUGUAAGACAGAGGUGAAAUCCCCGGGCUCAACCUGGGAACUGCAUUUGUGACUGUAUAGCUGGAGUGCGGCAGAGGGGGAUGGAAUUCCGCGUGUAGCAGUGAAAUGCGUAGAUAUGCGGAGGAACACCGAUGGCGAAGGCAAUCCCCUGGGCCUGCACUGACGCUCAUGCACGAAAGCGUGGGGAGCAAACAGGAUUAGAUACCCCUGU
rnacentral:rRNA from 1 species